GCUAGACACUGAACUGGAACACCAGUAAUACAAAAACAGGACAAGUGAGAAUUCCCAGGAAGGAAGGAGGGCAUGCAGGUGGCAGACAGACGUGAGCUCGAACCUGUUGCUCCAGCGCCAUGACUGCUGCCUGCUACUGUGAUCCCUGCCUUGAUAGCCCUGGACCCACUUUUUGAAAUUGUAAGCAAGACCCCAAUUAAAUGCUCCCUUUUAUAAGCCUUUUA